CUGUCACCUACACCCUGAAGGUACAGGCGCUGUCACCUACACCCUGAAGGUACAGGCGCUGUCACCUACACACUGCAGGUACAGGCGCUGUCACCUACACCCUGAAGGUACAGGCGCUGUCACCUACACCCUGAAGGAACAGGAAGUACAGGCGGUUUUGGUUCCUGGGGCUCUGAGGAACCAUUUAAGGAUUCACUGAUAGCUCUAGUUUAUGUUUUUCUUUCUGAUGAACAGACGCCAUCUUUCAAGCCAUUCUAGGUCUGACUUGAAACUUGCAGCAUGAUCCAUGUUUCGUAUUUAUUUAUUAUGAUCACCGGUUGCUUUAAUUCCUUUCUAAAUGUCUCUAAAUGAAUGUUUUUAUUGAAUUUGUAUAGUUUUUGUAGAUUUACUGUAGUUCUAAUGUUUUCAGCUCUUCUCCUACCGUCCUGCAACUAAUAGAACGCCUUGAUAGAAACCAAUAGAAGGCCCUGAUAGAAACCAAUAGAAGACCCUGAUAGGAACCAAUAGAAGACCCUGGUAUAAACUAA